UACAGAGGGGGCAAGCGUUGUUCGGAAUUACUGGGCGUAAAGGGCGCGUAGGCGGCCUUCUAAGUCGAACGUGAAAUCCCCGGGCUCAACCCGGGAACUGCGUCCGAUACUGGAAGGCUUGAAUCCGGGAGAGGGAUGCGGAAUUCCAGGUGUAGCGGUGAAAUGCGUAGAUAUCUGGAGGAACACCGGUGGCGAAGGCGACGUCCUGGACCGGCAUUGACGCUGAGGCGCGAAAGCCAGGGGAGCAAACGGG
rnacentral:rRNA from 1 species